rnacentral:rRNA from 1 species
GACGUAGGGCGCGAGCGUUUGUCCGGAUUUAUUGGGCGUAAAGAGCUCGUAGGCGGCUUGUCGCGUCGGUCCGUGAAAACCCACAGCUCAACUGUGGGCUUGCGGUCGAUACGGGCAGGCUAGAGUUCGGUAGGGGAGACUGGAAUUCCUGGUGUAGCGGUGAAAUGCGCAGAUAUCAGGAGGAACACCGGUGGCGAAGGCGGAUCGUCUGGGCCUUACCUGACGCUCAGGCGCGAAAGCUAGGGGAGCGAACAGG